rnacentral:rRNA from 1 species
CAGUAGCCACGGGAAAACGUAUGUCCCGAGCGUUAUCCGGAUUUAUUGGGCGUAGAGCGAGCGCAGACGGUUAAUUAAGUCUGAUGUGAAAGCCCGGAGCUCAACUCCGGAAUGGCAUUGGAAACUGGUUAACUUGAGUGCAGUAGAGGUAGUGGAACUCCAUGUGUAGCGGUGGAAUGCGUAGAUAUAUGGAAGAACACCAGUGGCGAAGGCGGCUUACUGGACUGUAACUGACGUUGAGGCUCGAAAGUGUGGGUAGCAAACAGGAUUAGAUACCCCAGUAGUCCCUGUCUCUUAUACU